CCGCGCUCGGCGGGCAAACGAGGCCGCUCGGCAUCUGCUGUACCUGUUCCCGCUGCCUUCAUCUCGCCUUGGAACCGUGACAAGAGCGCGCUCGCCUCGGGUGGGCUCGGAGCCGCGGGGCUGUAACCCUUUGCAGGAAGUUGGCACCGAUCCCAGCCCAAACCCAACGCGAAGGGAGAGGAAGGGAAGAGGAAUCAAAUGGGCAGAGAGAACAGCUCCGAGUCGGCAGGACAAUGCACGGGAAGCGGGGAGAUUAACGUAGCUCUCGAAACCCAUCGCGCCCACCCCGUUCCCGAACCAGUCGCCCCCGCGUCCUCGUCUCUUUUAAUACUCCCGGCUCCUGAUUUAUUCCAGUCAACGAGCGGGAGGGGAACGCGCGGUCCGGAGUCCACGAGCAGGAAAGCGAGCGAGAGGGAGAGCCCGGCAGAGCCCUCACAAUCGAGCAGUGAGAAGAGCAAGGAAAAAUUAACAUCCAAUUAGCGCCGUGUUUAACGAGGGAGACAGAGGCGGCUGUUGUUUUAUUGCCCUGUUCUUUUCAGGCGCAUCUGACAGGCAGCGGGGAAGGCACCCCGGCUCCAACUGACGUCAUAUUUUAUUUCUUUAAUUAUUUCCCCCCCUCUUUUUCUCCCCUACCCGGUCUCUCCUCCUCCAAGUUUCACGGAGACGGUCUCGGCAACUCGGCCAGGGAAAUUCAGGACCUUCUUGCGUUCGAGCCGCCGGCUCCCCCCUCCCCAUGCACCAACACCAACCCCAGACAAACAAACACGCCAACCCACCCCAAAGUCUUUGUUCUUCCGCAAAAAAAUAAUAAUAAACGUUGGGAUCGGAGCCGGAGGGACCCGGAGGAGGUUUCUCCGUGUCCGAGCGUGUGCGUCCAUCUGUCCCCUCUCCCGUCCCUCUCCCCAGACGCUCGCUCGUCUCGUAAAACUUUGCGGCAUGUGACGCUGCUCCGGCCUCCUCUGGCAGCCUGACAAGAGCCGCGCAGCCGCUUUUAAGGGAGAAACUCCGUUGCUAAAGAUGAGAGAAUUAACGCGUUCUCAGCGAGGGACGGCGCCUCGCACAACGGCCGCCAUGGCGGCGGAUCGGACCCUCGCUGCGCCGGGGGGGAGAGGAGCCGAAUCGAAAGCUGGGGACGCUUUUCCCCCUCCCCGCUCGCUGGGCCUCCCGCUUCUCCCCCGGGACGGGGGCCCAGCGCCGUGCAGGCGUCAAGGGAGACGUGUGGGAGCCAUGGAAGGGGAAGUGUCCCGGCCGGCCUGUGCCGUCACCGCUGUCCCCCGAGGCCCAGGGUCUCCUCAGGGUGGGAUAAACACCGCCGGCUCCCCCGGAGAGCGCUGCCAUCCCGGGAGGGGAUGGGACAGCUUGGUUUGGGGGGAUUUGAGGGAGUUCUCCCCCAAAAAGGACCCGCAGCAGGCGAUGGGGAGCGUGGAAAGCGGCGUCCCCAGGCUCUGCCCCUGCUCUGACAAACCACCGGUGAUGGCUGGAGCCAGCGCGGCAGGUCAGGCCACGGCGCCGAGCUCUCCCGCUGUGCCCCCCAGGGCCUUUGUCCAUGAGGAUUUUCUCCCCAAGGAUUUCCCUUGUCCAUGGGAAGGAAUCCAGCAGGACGCGGCUGCUCCAUCGCCUCCCACUUCGGGCAAAGCCCAUCCCGGGGGACGGGGCUGAGCGAUGACAAGGGGACCCAUCCGGGGCCGCCGCGCUGCCAGCACCAAGUCCCUACCAUGAACAUUUCCCAGCACGUCCCCAGCGGUGGGAUCUCCUCUAUCAGACUUACUAUUUUAUCUUUUUAUUUGAAUUAUGUGCCUACGUGGAGCUCGGCGCUGCGGGGGAACAGGGCAAACAGCCUUAUCAAGGGCAAUCGUGCCGCGGGGCCACGACCUGGGCCAUCCAUCGCUGCCGGGGGGCCGGCAGCCCCCAGCCCUCCCGCUGACCAGACACCGGGGUGACGGGCACCCUGCAGGGGUUUGCUGGGCUGCCCUCCUCCCAAAAGCCGGGGUGGGGGGUGUUUUAACAUCAGGAUUUUCAGCAGGACGGUUCUGCAGGGGGAAAGCAAAGGAUGAUGCGCUCGGUCCCAGCUCAGCUGCACCUUCCCCGGGGAAAAGGGCUUUUAGCAGCACCUCAUUGCUCCCCAAGUCCUGCCAGAGCCUGCAGAUCCACCGGGCAGCCCUGUCCUGAGUUUCCCUCUCCCGGCAGCGGUCGCAGCCGCUUUUCCCCCCCCGGGCAGCUGGGAGCACACGAGGCCAAAGUCCCGGCAAUCUCUGUUUGCCACCGAAGGCUGAUAAACCACGCGGAACAGCCGCCAUCUCCGCCCAGCCUGGGCUUGUGCAGGAGAGAGUCAAUAUUUAAACACAGGCUUGUUUCCUGGGCAGAUAGGGCAGCGCUGGGGGUGUAUUUGGAGAAACCCCCAGCUGUGUCCCAGGCACCGGGCCCAAACCUCCCCCUACACCCCUUCAUUUGUUAUCCUGAGGGUGGAUUUCACCCCAAUCUCCCCUCCCGUGGGAGGGAGGCCCUGUCCCCACCAGCUGUGGGGCUGAGCACCUGCUAACGAGGCAGCAAUUUAAGGGCAGGGGGCACUCAGCCAGGGUUUGGGUUGUCUCCUUGUCUGCUCCUGGUCCCCAUGGUGGGGAUAUCUCCAGUGAAGCACAGGACAAGAACCACGGUUAGAAACAGGGGAGGUAAGGAAAUAUUUCAUUAUGCCACAAAUGGCAGGUCCUGCUUCAAGCUGAGGCUGCGAACUGGAAGCUUUGAAACCUGGUUUUCAUUUAAGCUGACCAAAAGCUAUAUUCAAGUGUUGUGUUCCCAGCAAAGUUUGUGUUCCGUAGUGAUACUGGGCAGAAAUAGGAGGCAGGAUGCUUGCUCUGGUGCAGGUAAAUUCCUUAGGUAGAUUCCUCAAAGGAAACAGCACGUUUCACUGCGGAGGCUGCAGCUGGGCUGUGCACGGGGUGUGGGAGGUUUUACAGGCAUGGGGUGGCCUUAAUUUUGAGGGUAAAAGCAUGUUUCUGAGCAUGAAAACUUUAAAAAAGAACCAGCCAGGAGUUGUUGUUUUACACCUGUAUUUUGGAGCAUAGUUAAAUCCUCUUUGAAAUAAUCUCUGGUGUUAGGGAGCAGGGUCAUGCGUUAUUUAACUUCUGUUAAUUUAACACGAACUGGAAGGAGGGAGGACAGACGGGACCGACUUCACGACACCGACGGGACUGGGUGGGAACCAGCGGUGCCAGCGUGUACCAGUGCUGCCCCGCGGACCCGGCUGGGAGAUGUGGACCAAACCCAUCUGAGGGUGAAAACCCCUGUGCAGUGGCAGGUUGGGGUCCCCAGAGGACCACGAUGGGAUGUGACCCCAGUUCCUGCUGCAGCAGCACGUGGGAACCUGCUCCAGGACCCCAAAACCUCUUCCCAGGGAGCGCAGCAACACCACUCUGUGCAAAACACUGCUGGACGGGGGAACCGAAGUGGGGGGAAACAUCUGCCUGGCUGCUGUCACAGCACAGACUGGUGCAAAUAUCUUCAUCUGGGGAGCUGAGGAUAAAUCCUGCGCUGCUGAGCUCUGUUAUGCGAGGGCUGGCCAAGCUCCUGUGUGCAUGAGGAACCCUCAGCCCCUCGCAAACCUUUGGCCAGAGUGAGCUUCAUCCCUUUUUACCAGGCAAUCAGCCCCGUGAGGGUAACCCUUCUGUCCAUCGCUAUCGGCAGGAUGCUGCUGGGCUUCGGGAGCCGAGCCGUGCCCGUCUCUUUGGGACCGCGCUCCUCUUUGUGGUGGGACUCAGUUUCCCUUUGCUGUUUGAUCCUGUGAUUUCCCUUUCAGGCCUGUGGGAGACUGGGAGCUCCCCAGUGUUCAGGAACCCUCAAAACCUUCAAUACGGGUUGCAGGGUUGAGGUUGGUCAGCUGGCGGUGCCAUCCCAGCGAGGCGACCUCAGAUCUGCUGCUUCUGAGCUCUGGCAGAACAAAACCACCUCCUGUCCCCAUAUCUCACGGCUGGAUCGUUUAGUGUUUGGACAUCUUCUGGUUUUCUGGACCUCCCCAGUGAUUCCAGAGCUACAACCUGGAUCAAAGAGACAAGACAACAUCCUUCUGCUCUGAUACACAUCCUGUCCGAGACAGUCAUGAGGAUGGAGCUUUGGUCCAGCUAGAGCCUGAAGCCAGAUCUCCAGAAGGCAAUUUGUCACUGGCCUUGCUGGAGAGGGGGUGUCUUGCUCUGGCUCAUGGAUUUUUGGAUCGAAAAAGAAAAAAAAUAUAUAUUGAAACAAGCUUGGGGUUUCUAGAGGAGUCCAAGUUCGUCAGCUGUCCCUGCCGAGGAGUCAGUCGAUGGGGAAGCAGGCGGCGGGCACGGGCGCUCUGCGGAAGAGGAGGCUGGAGCCGCGGAACAGCUGCCCCUGAGGAGCAGAGAAGGGAGCGCAGUGUCAGCACAGCCGUCCUGCGUCACCGUGACACCAAAACCCAGCUGGGGACCUGCAGCUGGCUUAGCAGAGACCAACCUGUGCCCCCUGCAAGGCCCCAGCGCCCCGGAGGAGAAAUGAGAGGUUCAGCCCUGUGAGUGCUGGGGUCGUGCACUUCCCCAGGGCGACUGGUAGAGAGGGCAGAGCCAUCUCGCUUUGCUCUGGGAAAUACAUUGGCCAGAAGUUCUCAGGCUGCGAGCUCGGGGUAUGUAAUGGGGUGACCAGUACUGCCGGGCACUGGUGCCAGAACCAGAGGGGCGGAGCAGAGGGAGCCCGGAGCUCCGCGCGUGCCCCGUGCUCACCUGAGCACUGAGAUACCUCCAGCAGUGGAUCCAGGAUGCGAAGGCGGGAGCGUAGGGGGGGAGGCCGGCGCGCAACCUGCACGGCAACAAGAGAGAGCUGAGCUGAGCGGUCUGCGCCGAUGUCAUGUUAUCCAGAUAGGUAACACGAGAGCAGCGCUAAGUGUAAACCAGGACACAAAAGCCGUGUCCGCGCCGGGCUGAAGGCCAAAUGACCAGCUCGUUAUUUACAAUGCAACAGAUCGUGUAAUUUAAUUACGCCUGGAGUGUACAAACAAGGAGCGUUACCUGGAUAUGUUAAGAGCCCAGGACUCUAUGCUGUAGCUACACCUUUGAGAGCCAGCAAAUAUCGAGACGUUACACCAUCCCACAAGCACAAAUGCAGACUGCUGGCAGCAGUGGGACUGGGAAAGCCAGCUCGGUCCUGUCCCACAGCCAGCAUGGUCCCCGUCAUCCCUUCUGCCUCCCAUCUAGUUCAGAUCCAACUGCGCCACCACAACUCUCCCGAUUUCUCUCCACUUGAGCUUUUACGCUGCUCCUGUCUGUGCCCUCUGAUCUAGAAUUAUAGGCAACCUGGGACAGGAAAUGAGCCAACUCUGCGAGGUGCCAUCUAGUUUAUGGUUCUGUAUGAAAGCUUUACGAUCCCUAGCAGAGGACUCAGACAACAAGGGGCUGGAAGAAAGGAAGGGAAAGCCUUAGAUCUCCGUGUGACGGACAUACCCACAGUUGUUCACUGCCAUGAGAUCUCCCACGAGAAGGAAUGGGUACGUCAGCAUGCUCACGGCGAUCUGGAAGCACAGAAAACCGGUGUUCAUUGCAUCAAAAAAGCUAGUUCCAGCCUUUGCAUGUUGGCAAAGUUAUAUUUGAAUAUAAAGUACAGACCAGCUUUUGUCCCCAGACCACGAGCUCUCACCCCACAGCAGCAGGAAGAGGAGAAAUCAUGUUUUUCUACGUACCCCCAUCACAAAUUUUGUGUAGCUCCGGAUCACCGAUGCCUGGCUGAACUGGAAAGAGAAACCAAAGCCACUGUGGAGCAGGUGGGUGACACCAGCCUGUCACUGUCACUACACGACAUCCCUCUGAGCCCGAGACGAUGGGUGUGGGGCAGGAAACAAUGGUAACGAUGCUGCAUCCCAGCUGAGAAUCGAGGAGAACAUUUGCCACCAAACCCAAUCCCCUACACUGCAGCUGAAACGCAGCCCCGAGCAGAUGCGGCAUCUUUAGCACUUUUACAGCGUUUUAUCCCAGUGUCCCUUUGUAUUAAAUCAGCCACCAGCUUCCCAUUAACUCCUUCUAGCUGCAGGUGUUCGGUACGAGCCCCCCAAACCCUGCACCGGGCGCUUCCACUCACGUUGUCGUCCACCGCGUAGGUGUUGAUGAAGUGAGCCAGGAGAUUGCAGCACCAGAGGAAGAUGACGUCCCCCAGGACAUGAGGGACCAAACCGCUGCAAUGGCAAAGAGGGGAGUGAGGUGUAAAAGGGUCCUCGUGCUGCUUUCCAAGGUGUCCAGCCUACCCUCAUCCCCUGAAAAUGCAUCUUUACUUUGUGAAGAACUGAAGGGAAAAGGGGAGAUUUUGGGGAAGAGCUCUCCUGGCCUUCAAGCACAGUCCUGCACGUGCUGCCAGCGACUCUGCACCAGGGAUGCUCUGGAGUAGGAAGUUUGGGAUCUGUCGUUUGGGCACGACUCAGCCACGUCCCUUUGUUCUACCCCAAAUCUUGGCCCUGCUUGACUGCUGCAGAUACAAGGGGCAGCGAGAUAAGUGCAGCCCCUGAGAACCUUUAUCUCCAGCCAGAUGCGCACCCAGAGCGAGCGUGUGCCGCUGUUAUAGCCACGUAGAGGUUAGAACGCCGUGCAAAACAAGUGCAGUGCGAUGAUUUUUAGGGAGUGGAUGCGUUUGGGUGCAUUAGAACUGCUGCGGUUUGGUCCUACAGAUGCGGUUUAUGCUCCCCUCACAGACGUGUGAUUUCCUAGCGGGGUUGUAGAGCACGUAUAACUUCAGAGCCCUCCUGAGACGCUUCGGGUUGUGUUAAAGCCUUUCCUGUGAACUAUUAAGUUUAAUUAGGCCACUAACGGUGUUUAUUUUACAUGAAGGAAGGGAAUGCAGUGGCUCCUUUCAUAUUAUUUCCUCAGGAGGUGGAGAACAGGGAGGGAUGCCGGGCGCUGCGCACAGGGAACAUCCCAGAGGUAUCUGUAUUUAACAAAGGAGAUUUGGGGCUGCAGAGAAGCUGUGGGCUGCAAAAGGAAGAUGCGGUGACACUCAGUUGAUGGAGUCUCUGCAGAUCCCUGGGCCUUUCCCCUCAGGGAAGGACAGGGCGAGUCCUCCUGUGAUUGUUGGUCACCUCUUGAUGAGCUCACGUUCCACCUGGAGGCCCAAAUCUUGUGACUGCAGAGCUGAAGGCAUCCGGCCUCAUAAUCCCUCCUGAAAUUUUGGAGCUGCCUCUACUGUUAUUUACUAUUUGGAAGAGUAAGCUCAGUGCAACUCUGAGGCCGGCAGAGCGAUCAGCGCCUCCGGAUGACAGGAGAAAGUAUCGAAACAACAACUCACGUACACAAAGAAUCCCAGGAUCCCUUCUUCCUUAAAUAUCCUGCCGAUGGCACUGAACACACCGCUGCAAGAAAGGACAGGAGCUGUACACGUGCAGAGGUCGCUCCAUCUCCAUCCCACGGGGCUCUGCAGCCCCCAGCCAUGGUGCCAGCGAUGCAGCGGGCAGCUCUGUCCUGCUCCUUCCCCUCAGCCCACGAAGGAGGGUCGUGCCUGUGCUCUCCCAGCCUGCAAAAACGCCUGGGACAACGCUCGGCUCACUGAUAACGGUUUAAAUGCUGUAGCCACAAGAGCUCUGCUUGGCUUUGGGUGAGUGGAUACACAUGCCGCAACCACGACACAUAAAAAGGUUUGAUUAGGCUGAUUCUCAGCCCAAGGACCCCGUCCCGGCUCUGGGAACUCGCCAAACCCUUCCAAACUGCAGCCACUCACCUGUAUUUGACUUCCCGGCCCACAAACUGGACCAUGCAGCGCAUGGAGAUCACUAGGAGGAAACAAACACAGGGCUGGCAAAGAAACAAAUCCAGUUGGGGUUGUAAUGGAGGCGAAGGAAAACGCAACCUGUCCCUUCUGCCCUCCCUCCCCUCGACUGGCUUCAUCUCCAGCUCCUCUCAGUGGUCCUUAUCACUGCGAGACUCGUUAGGAAACAGUGCCCUCCCCUAGUUUGUAUGGGAUAGGAAGGAUUUCUGGCCCUAAUCCCAGUGGGAUCUCUAGGACAAGCUCUGAAUGAAUGGGAAGAGAGCACCGCUCCCCAAGGCCACCCCAAACAUCAGUCUCCCCAAGCAACCCCGCAGCCCUGUGUGUGCUCUGCGGCUUUGUGCAAAGCUGUUUGUGACAGAGAAGUGCACUGGGGGUUUUGGGGUGAUCCUCAGUCCGGAACAGGGCUCACCGUGCAGCGGGUGUGAGACAAGCCGGGACACGCACUGCAUCAUCAUCUCGUGAGAGGUCUGGGGAGAAGAAAACCACAGCUGGAUGAAAAGCUGCGUUUCUCCACCCACGCAGGCCAGGCCCCUUCCCUCCGCGCAGCAACACCCAUCGCCGGUCCCUCUUUUGAAAUCUGUUGCUCAUGGUGAACCUCUAUUCUUACAAAAUAUUUCACAGCUGGACACAGAGUGGCUACUAAAUACACGGCCUGUUCACCCAGAGCUUCUCUCCAAGUAACUUCACCUACAGUUUAAGCUUCCUUUGCUCCACAGGCACAUCCCCAAUGUGAUCUCCCUGAUUUGCAAUAUCUGCUUCUCACCUCUUUCACCACUUUCCUAAGGGAGGUCUUCACAUCAUCCUUGUUAGAAACGUGCUCCAUGUCUUCCAGUGGAAAGGCCUGAGUGGAGAGAGAAGAAACAGUCAAAAGUGAUGGAGACACCGACCCACAAACCCUCGGUGUCUGAGGACAGGAGGAAACCACAAGCAGUUGCAUUUGAGAAAGGAGAAGAAAAACAGGCAAGAAGGAACACAGGAGAAGGAAGGAUGGCAAGUAAAACGGGGGAAGAGAUGGGUUAUGAAACUGCUUACAGAAGAUAAAAGUGACUGUUCAAAUUAAAUUAAAACCGUUUUAAAAAUAAGUACUAGGGAUACGGGCACCGUUCUCCUCCUGUCCUGGAGGAGAAUUCAAAGCCCGUAGGAGAUGGAGAGAGAUGAUGGGUGAAUUAUUCCUCCACGUGCAGCCACGGCUCCCGGGCUCUGCUGUGGUAGCACCGGCCGACCCAGCAAACUGAUUUAUGGAGAGAGAAGCCGACCUUUACCUUCUUCACGCUCCCCCUGGUGAUGGUUGAUAAAGUGCUUGAGAUGAGGCGAGGAGUAAGGCCGCGGAAGAGGCCUCUUUUCCCAUCCACCUCCACGAUGUGUCUGGCUGGGGAAUUAAAAAACAGGCUGCUGUCAGUGGGGAACCGGCUGAGCGCCCCAAACACCUCCGGUGUUCAGCCGAAACCGUCCUGGAGCUCAGCGCCACGCAGCAGCCGCUCUGCGGUCCCACCGUAAGUGAUUUAUUAGAACAAUCCUAAAUAAAUUUCAUAUAGGAUGCAAAGAAUCCUUAAGUAUUCCCUGUCAUAACUAAUCUGGAAGGAUAGAUGAAACGGCCUCUCCAACACGUGCAAAAACCCCCCACCAACAAACCCACAGCACCCAAACCCACCCCACCCCGGACCCUCUGCUGUGGGGCAAACACAGAGCAACCAGCGCUGGGGCCACCACCUCCUUGUCCCCAACAACAGGAAAGGGAAGAGGGAGAGAGAAGUUCCUUGGACUGCAUGGCACCUCCAUAAAGCAGCACCUCCAUAAAACAUCACCUUCACUUGGAGCUGGGACCCGCAGACAACAUGAUCGCUCUCAUCUGCCUUGGCCCUGGUGUAGAAGUAAUUCUGAGGUUUGGGAAGAGGAAAGUCUGUGCUAACCUGACGCUGCAGCACCACAUGCUGGAACCUGUGCAGAGGAUCCUGCGCUUGGAACUCAUCCUGAAAGAUUACAUCUGAAAACUACCUCCUGAGUCCCUGGACCGGGACGAUGCACAGACUGCCCUGUGCGCUCGGAUAAACCUCUCGGACUGGCCCUUCUCCAGCAAGGAAAGGGAUUAAUCUGCCCUUGCAGGGUCUGUGGAGAGGCUCUGGAGAUGAUUUCUCUGGUGUCAAAACACCCCGGCCUAUCCUGCUCACGGCAGAUCCCAACUUCUCUACAUUUUGUUUUUUCAUCACAAAAAGUUCCCCUGGCCACGCCGCAGUGAUGGUCAAGCGGAGCAGUUUGGCCUCCCGCCUCCCGGCGCAGAAAGCGAAACCCUGUGGAGAAGUCACGCAGUUUCCUAUUCUCGAGAAUGAGGAAGGCUCGGAGGCCACUUACCGGAAUCCCCCCCGGCCACAGACCCCCCCCGCUGCCUCUUCUUGUAAGCACUGACCAAAAAACCUCGCGCAAGGCGCUCGCCGCAGCUCCGCCGGCUGGGCCACCCUUUGGUGACAACAGCCAGCGGGGAAGGGGAGCGGACACCCGUGCAGCCGCCACUUGGCCGAGGCUUUUAUGUCCCUUGGUCACCCCCUGCUCCCCAGGAAUGUCCCUCACGUGUCCCCCAAGCAUGGGGCCCAUAUGGGCCCUAUAGAACCCCCUGACAUGCAGGGCUGCUCUGGGAGCUGCUCUGUGUGCUGGAGGCUCUUGAUCUGUAGGGGCACGUUCUAUGGGGGUUUCUCUAUAGGGCAGGCAUUCCUUCUCUAUAGGGAUGGCUCUACUGGGUAUAUUCUCUCGCUUGCUGAUUGCAGGUGCCUAUAGGGGCUUCGCUCUGCUGUGGGGUGGGAUUUCCUGCUCUAUAGGGGCUGGUUUCCAGGGACUGCAUCACUGAUGCAGGGGCUCAUACUCUAUAACGCCCGCGAUGGGGUUCUAUAGGAGCUGGGCUGCACAGAGGGGGAUCUAUAGGAGCUGUGCUGGCAGAACCAUCCCUGGAGCAUCCUCCCCCUGCCGUGCCCAGGGCGGUGGGGGGCACCGGGGACCCCCAUCUCCCCCAAGGCUGGGGGCAACCCCUGGGUGGGAGAUUUAAGGAUGGGAUAUUAAAUGAUGCAAAAUAGCUGUAAUGACCCCCCCUCAAAACAAACAAACAUAAAACAACACAGUGAGGAUUGUGGCAGCUCAGGGCUGUGGUACCCCCAUCCUGCUCUGCAUCCCCCUCAAACCCCCCAGGAGCAAUAAAAGCAGGAGGGGGACCCCAGGAUCCACACAGCUGCACCCCCCUUUGCACCACACUGGCAAAACGUCAUUGCCAGGGUGUCCCCAGGCUGGAGGGAGCUUUUGGGGGUGCAGCUCCCCCUCUUUCUCAGGGUCUCUGCAGGCUGCUGGCAAAGGGCGUUUCAUGCAGCUGAGAACCAGGUCGUGCAUCUCGCUGUCUUCUGAGGCGGGAGGUGUUUCCCGGUGGCGCAGGAAUUCGCUGUUUGCGCCUGUGUUGCAGGAGGCUGGAGGAAGGAAAAGCUGGGGGGAGAGCUGGGGAGGGCUGAGCUGGCGGUUGUUAUUAUUUAAUUUCAUUUUCCUGCCUCCAUCCAGGAAUCUCUGCAAUGUGCCGGCUGCACCCGGGAGGCUGGGGCGGCCGUGAGUCACCGCUGCCGCUGGAACGUGACUCAGUCCUGCUGCUCUCGCCGGCAGGACAUGACCAGACUGCCAAACCUCGCGGCAGCCCCAGCGCCACGGCUGCCCACGCGAAAUCCCCCCCGAGCGCAGCCCACAGGGGUAUCGGCCCAUCGCCGUGGGGUGGAGCUCAGGCGGGGGGGCCAGAAUGGGCUCUUUUAUUUAUUUUUUUGUUCCUUUUAUUUUUAUUUUAUUUUUAUUUAUUUAUUUAUUCAUUUAUUUUAAUCUUCUUUUCUUUUUUCCCAGGAAAACCCUCUCCACCCACUCUCUAUGCAUCACCAUCAUGCUGUAGGUACCUCCUCAGUGGUUUUUGCUGCCCAAGCCCUACGGGGCAGCAGGGAAAGCUCCUGGUGCCGCUCCUGCCCCAGUUCCCGUGCCUCAGUUUCCCCAUCCAGUGGGGAGCAGAGAUUUCCCCAUCGGGACGUGGGUUACUUCAGGUUGUGCUUUGAGCACCCCAGCUGUGACUCAGCUCAUCAGCAUGAUCGAAACAAGAGCCGGACUCCAGCACCGGGGCCACGGCAGCGCCAAACCGGUCCCCCCAACACCAGCUGCGACCCCCCCAGCUCUGCCAUAGGACCCCAUUGCCCGCCAGGCACAGCCCGGCGCCCCCCCGGGGUUUUGGGGUGGGUUUUCCCCCUGAUUGGCGACAGGUUGGGGCUCAGACCGUCCCCUUCUCACACACGGCGUGUCACCCCCACCCAGGGCAAUUACCCAUUGCCACGCUGCAAAUAAUUAUAUUAAUAACUUAUUUACCGUGCUAUAAAUAGCCCCGAUAAUGACAGCCUGGGCUUUCCAGGAAUAGAUCGCCAAAAAAUGCGGGGAAAGCCGUUCCCACCCCAGCCUGGGUUGCAGACGGGGAAACUGAGGCACUGCCGGUUUCGGGCAUGACUCCCGCCCGCUGCACCGCGCCGUCUGCCAGGCAGCUGUGGAAUUUGCUCCCGAAUAAACUGGCAUGUAAAUGA